GACGGAGGAUGCAAGUGUUAUCCGGAAUCACUGGGCGUAAAGCGUCUGUAGGUGGUUUAUUAAGUCGAAUGUUAAAUCUUGAGGCUCAACCUCAAAAUCGCAUUCGAAACUAUUAGACUUGAGUAUAGUAGAGGUAAAGGGAAUUUCUAGUGGAGCGGUGAAAUGCGUAGAUAUUAGAAAGAACACCAAUUGCGAAGGCACUUUACUGGGCUAUUACUGACACUCAGAGACGAAAACUAGGGUAGCAAAUGGGAUUAGAUACCCCAGUAGUCCUAGCCGUAAACGAUGGAUACUAGAUGUUGAACAGUCGCUGCAGUAUCAAAGCUAACGCGUUAAGUAUCCCGCCUGGGAAGUAUGCUCGCAAGAGUG
rnacentral:rRNA from 1 species